rnacentral:rRNA from 1 species
AUGUACAUUCCUACAACAUAUCACUAAUGCACUAGAUCCCAUUAGAACUCUGCAGUUAAGCAUGCUCGGUCUAGAGUAAUAAUGGGAUGAGUGACCAACCGAGAAGUCCUAUUAUUUUACAUG